AGACUCAUGGAUCGAUUUAGAAUUUUGGUUUUCCAUAAGGUAAGAAUAAAGAAAAUAAAUAAAGGAUAUAAAAGAUAAGAAAAGAUAAAAGUAUAGAUAUAAGCUAGUAGCAAGACUCAGGUUAUCUCAGCAACCGUCUUUCUCCCCGGCAACGGCGCCAGAAAUGCUUGUUGAUAUUUGGGAACACAAUAAGGAAUUGAUCCGCAAGCGCACGGAUAUCGGUGAGCACUUCACUCGGGAGGUUAUCCAGAGUAUCGUAUUUAUUUUUUUACCACUAGGAGAAAGAGUGCAUCUGACUAACCGGUCUAUUACUACUAACCUUUAGGCACAAAGAAUGUCUUUCGAUGUGAGUGAUAAAUAGAGAAGACUGCAACCGUAGUCUCCUUCUAACCUUGGUAAGGAUGAUCUACUGUUCUAAUGGGGAGGCUAACGGAAUCUAGACACCACAAAGGAUGUUCGACCCGCACCUAUAAACCCUACCCUUCCUGCUAACGAGAUGUGAUCUACAAAGGUAGCUCGGAAUUGUCACGUUCCUCACUACUACCACGGUCCAGCUAGUCAGGGAAUAUCUAUGAGUACCCCAGCCUAAACACCACGUUUACGCCAGCAAUGAUUACUCUAAACUCUACGCGAAGAGAUUAAAGUAAACUCAUAAACCAUAAGAACAAUAAAACAAGAACUUACUAGAAUUUAGAAGUCAAAUUACUGAAGAAUCCUAGGAGCAAGCUUCGGGUUAGGAAAACUUGAUCCCGCAGGUACAAGCUUGGAGUAGACACCGACAGGCCGGGCUUCCUCCACUCUACACCUCCACUCUAUCUCUCUCAAUCUAGUAGAAACUAGAAGAUCUAUUUCUACCUUACAUUGAUUGCUAAGCCUAAAAAGAAAUAUUAAUUAGAGAAGAGGUUUUCCUUCGAGGGCACCCCUCAGUCUCUAUGAUAAUUUCUUCAUGUCUUCUCCAGGGGCCAGGGGGGCCUUGCUUAUAUAGUCCUCCCCUUCUAUGCGUUUUUGGGUCGAUAGCCGAGGUGGUACUAUGUUUUUCUUGAUCCAAUAGGUCGGUGGAAUAUCCCGAACGAAAGAGUCCUGAUUUGGCUCCAGCAGGGGGGCGGGCGCCCAGGCUACCAGGGCGGGCGCCCUAGGCCUGGCCCAGUUUUGCCUUCGCUUCGGUCUCGUGGCUUCUGGAGUCUUCUAGAUGAUGUAAAAUUGCGCGGUGCGUUGAUAUCUCUAUGUAAUCCCGACAUGUAGGCCUUUCUUCCUUAUUUCCUGAUAACCCCCUGCAGAAACAGAUAAACAACAAAACUCGUGGAAUUCUGUU
rnacentral:lncRNA from 1 species